UAAAACAUAUGAAUAUUAAAAUGUCAAAGCAAAAGCUUUUCGAUGAGCUUCAUCCAAUAUGAUAUCUGUGGGAUUGGCUGUAGAAUGGAUGAUUGACAAGUUGAAUCCAAUACAAUACAAAAAACUCCAGACUUGUUGAAUGAAUAUGACAAACCUGUUUUUAGAGAGAUGAAACUGUGAAACGAUGAGACUGAAGACUCGUGGUUGUGGAGAAGAUAAAACGAUGCCCGAGCCUGAGUUUGACAUGUUUGGUAACUCCCUAACUUCAUCAUAUUACAUGGAGGCCUUCCCGAGUUUACCAUCUCAAAGCAAAAGGUUUCCUGAGUAUCAAACCAGAUUCAAGAACAAUUCCUCAGUAUCACUGUCUAGAAGAAUUCUUGGACUCCUGCUUUCAUGCUCUACCGGUUGUGUCUUGAUUUACGAUUUUAUAUGAUUUUCAGUUAUAGCAGAAGUUAUAAGUGAAGCAGGAGAUUUUUCGUCUCUACUGGCAUAUACAGGUCUGUGGAUCCAUAACCUACUUUGUGGAGAUCAGUGCUAGGUAUGUCUGAGGUGGAAUACCUCAAUUGAUCCCUAAAUGGUAGAUGUAUACUGGUGGUAGAUCUGGUUUUAUAUUUGAAUCUCGCUUUCCAUAAGACAAGUUUAUGACUGAAGGAAGGUUUAAUGGUAUCCCUACAUUAAUGGUUUCAGAAGUUGAGGCUUCAUCAGAAAACCUCGAACUGGUGGACUUUCUAUCAAAAGAAAGUCUCACACUGCCAUCCAGAAGUUGUAUAAUGUUUCUGACCUGGCUGUUUGUUUUAGAGGGUUCAGAAGGUUCUUCUUCUUUAGGAUCUACUACUCAUUCUAAGAUCCAUUAGUCUGGAAGGGUUAUAUCUCUCCAUUUUAUAGAUCUAGGAACUACAAUGUUAGAUUUUGUAAAAUCUGUCUGUAAUAAAAGAGUUUCUAUCUUUUUAGAUUGGACUUUGUGUUUAGUUGCAAAGGCUGAAACCAUGGUCUUGUAAUAGAUUUUGUAUAUUAAGGCUAUUGAAUUGAUCCUUUCAGCAUUUUAUAA